rnacentral:tRNA from 1 species
AGAAGAGUAGUUUAAUUAAAAUUAACGGUUUCGGCUCGUUCGUUUUUGGUUUAAUUCCAAAUUCUUCUU